rnacentral:rRNA from 1 species
CCUACGGGUGGCAGCAGUGGGGGAUAUUGCACAAUGGGGGGAACCCUGAUGCAGCGACACCGCGUGGGUGAAGAAGCGCCUCGGCGCGUAAAGCCCUGUCAGCAGGGAAGAAAAUGACGGUACCUGAAGAAGAAGCCCCGGCUAACUACGUGCCAGCAGCCGCGGUAAUACGUAGGGGGCAAGCGUUAUCCGGAUUUACUGGGUGUAAAGGGGGCGCAGACGGCGAUGCAAGCCAGGAGUGAAAGCCCGGGGGCCAACCCCCGGACUGCUCUUGGAACUGCGUGGCGGGAGUGCAGGAGGGGCAGGCGGAAUUCCUGGUGUAGCGGUGAAAUGCGUAGAUAUCAGGAGGAACACCGGUGGCGAAGGCGGCCUGCUGGACUGCAACUGACGUUGAGGCCCGAAAGCGUGGGGAGCAAACAGGAUUAGAUACCCUUGUAGUC